rnacentral:pre_miRNA from 1 species
CNCUCCGUCCCAAAAUUCUUGUCUUAGAUUUGUCUAGAUACGGAUGUAUCAAGUCACAUUUUAGUAUUAGAUACAUCCGUAUCUAGACAAAUCUAAGACAAGAAAUUUGGGACAGAGGG